ACGCUCGACACCUACGGGGGGCAGCAGUGGGGAAUAUUGCACAAUGGGGGAAACCCUGAUGCAGCGACGCCGCGUGAGCGAAGAAGUAUUUCGGUAUGUAAAGCUCUAUCAGCAGGGAAGAAAAUGACGGUACCUGACUAAGAAGCCCCGGCUAACUACGUGUCAGCAGCCGCGGUAAUCUGAGCGGGCUGGCAAGGC
rnacentral:rRNA from 1 species